rnacentral:lncRNA from 1 species
ACAAAUUUCAGUCUGUUGGGGUGUCAGCCAUCACUGGUGAAGGAUUUCCUGAAUUCCUCAAACUUGUUGAUGAUGCUACAGAAGAAUAUAAACAAGAAUAUCUGCCAAUGUAUGAUAAAUUACAAAAAGAAAAUGAAGCCCGGAUAGAAAAA